UACGAAGGGUGCAAACGUUGCUCGGAAUCACUGGGCGUAAAGCGCACGUAGGCGGAUUUCUAAGUCAGGGGUGAAAUCCUGGAGCUCAACUCCAGAACUGCCUUUGAUACUGGGAAGCUCGAGUCCGGGAGAGGUGAGUGGAACUGCGAGUGUAGAGGUGAAAUUCGUAGAUAUUCGCAAGAACACCAGUGGCGAAGGCGGCUCACUGGCCCGGUACUGACGCUGAGGUGCGAAAGCGUGGGGAGCAAACAGG
rnacentral:rRNA from 1 species